UACACGCAGGCAGUGGCUUUCGCGAAGGUGUCGCUGCAGAGAAACACGUCCCGCGCGCCACGCCGUCUGUUUCUAGGGCAACCGCGGCGCCUCUUAGCAACCGCGCGCGCGGCCUAGGUGGGUCUCUCGAACCCCCAGCCCUGCCAUGGCGGCCGGGGGUCCUAGCGUCUUCCUACUCAUGGUCAACGGGCAGGUGGAGAGCGCCCAGUUUCCAGAGUUCGACAACCUCUACUGCAAGUACUGCUUUGUGUAUGGCCAGGACUGGGCCCCCACAGCGGGUCUGGAGGAGGGGAUCUCACAGAUCACAUCCAAGAGCCGAGAUGCAUGCCAAGCGCUGGUGUGGAACUUCCCCAUCGACAUCACCUUUAAAAGCACCAACCCCUUUGGCUGGCCACAGAUUGUGCUCAGUGUGUAUGGACCAGACGUGUUCGGGAACGAUGUGGUCCGCGGCUACGGGGCGGUGCACGUGCCCUUCUCACCUGGCCGGCACAAGAGGACCAUCCCCAUGUUUGUUCCGGAAUCUACGUCUAAACUGCAGAAGUUUACAAGGGAUGCGUGUGACGGCAUUCGGGGCCCUCCUGGACCAUCCAGGCCCUUCCCAGCCGAGCUCCUUGGCUCCAUCACGCCUGCGAAGGCCUCUUUUCUAGAUAAGGUCACAUUCACGGUUUCCAAGGACUGGGACUUGCUAUCUUUGGGGGCCAUUACUCAGCCUACUGUGGCUCCCCCAAUCUAGUCUUCACUAGCAACAAAAACGGUGUUCCCGGGACAGCUUUGGCCAUGCCCUUCCCCGCUCGAGCCUGCCCAGGCCCAUCCUGCGCCUUUAGCAUCAGCUUGGCUGGAAGGCUGCGCGCCCUGCUGUGGGGCUCGCUCCUCCGGCCCACUGGGUCCUUCCCGCCCCAGGCCCUUGCCUGGAACAUUCUCCCAACAGUCUGGCCUCUCACGCCCGGUCCGCCGGGCAGACUGCCCUGGUGGAGCCCGGGGAGAAUUAAAAACGCAGUGAGCAUGGUGGCUCCGUGUAUUAGCACUUGUGGCCCGUCGGGCUCAGUGGCACUGCUUCCGGUGCCCCAGUCCUCACAGCCGCCUCAGGUGGGUGCUGCCAGAGCCCUGCCCUAGGGUGGAGUCGCAGAGAGAGGCAGUGGCCCGCCCAGACUGUCCCCUUCUGGAGUGCGCACCCUGGUGUUUGUCUCCCUGUUCCCUCCCUCGCUGCGCCGCCCCGCGGCCGGCUGGGGCCGUCCCCUCGCUUCCCUUCCGAGACACCCUCCCCCGGAGCCCAGGGCCGGCGCUUGCCAGCGGGAGGGCUGGACGGUGGCUUGGACAGCCGUGCGUUGUCAUGGUUACCAGCGGGCCCUCCCCGCCCCACGGCCGCACCCGCGCUGGGAGCCUGGCGGGGCUGGGGGGUCGGCGUCCCCCCGGGGGAGAACACGCGGGCCGGGAGGAGCUGCGGAGCAGAGGGCGCCUGUUGCCCGCGAGUCCCUCCUGCGCGGCUGCCGACCCGCCCGGCCGGGAACAGUGCACCGGCUUCUUUCCGGCUCGAGUGGGCGUGUCGGAGGCGUGGCCUGGACGCCAGUCCCCGGAGCCGGCUCCGCCAGGGCUGUCCCCGGGCCCUCGUGGCUGAGGGCUGCGCGCCUAGCAGGACUGCCUGGGGAGUCAGAUGACAGUAUCUGUCACCGCAGAGCAUCCCAGGGCCACCGCCUAGGUAGGAAGGGUUUUAUCUGGCUGUUGACAGAGUGCCUUCACCCCACCGCCCCAUGAGCUGGUUCAUGGGACGGCGGCCCGAGUACACGGAUCCCAAGGUGGUGGCUCAGGGUGAAGGCCGGGAAG